AACGAACGCUGGCGGCAUGCCUAACACAUGCAAGUCGAACGAGACCUUCGGGUCUAGUGGCGCACGGGUGCGUAACGCGUGGGAACCUGCCCUUAGGUUCGGAAUAACUCCCCGAAAGGGGUGCUAAUACCGGAUAAUGUCUUCGGACCAAAGAUUUAUCGCCUUUGGAUGGGCCCGCGUUGGAUUAGCUAGUUGGUAGGGUAAAAGCCUACCAUGGCGACGAUCCAUAGCUGGUCUGAGAGGAUGAUCAGCCACACUGGGAAUGAGACACGGCCCAGACUGCGGAGGGAGGCAGAAGAAGGGAAUCGUACGCAAUGGACGCAAGGCUGACGGAGGGACGGCGCGUGUGUGAAGAAGGUCUUCGGAUCGUGAAGAACUGUUAUCAGAGAAGAAGAGACUGUAGAGUAACUGUUAUAGGUUUGACGGUAACUGCUCAGAAAGCAACGGCUAACUACGUG
rnacentral:rRNA from 1 species